rnacentral:rRNA from 1 species
AAUAGAUACCCUGGUAGUCCACGCCGUAAACGUUGGGCACUAGGUGUGGGGUCUAUUCAACGGACUCCGUGCCGUAGCUAACGCAUUAAGUGCCCCGCCUGGGGAGUACGGCCGCAAGGCUAAAACUCAAAGGAAUUGACGGGGGCCCGCACAAGCAGCGGAGCAUGUUGCUUAAUUCGAGGCAACGCGAAGAACCUUACCUGGGUUUGACAUGUAGAGAAAAGCCAUAGAGAUAUGGUGUCCUUCGGGGUUCUACACAGGUGGUGCAUGGUUGUCGUCAGCUCGUGCCGUGAGAUGUUGGGUUAAGUCCCGCAACGAGCGCAACCCUUGUCCUAUGUUGCCAGCACGUCAUGGUGGGGACUCGUAGGAGACUGCCGGGGUCAACUCGGAGGAAGGUGGGGACGACGUCAAAUCAUCAUGCCCCUUAUAUCCAGGGCUGCAAACAUGCUACAAUGGCCGGUACAAAGGGCUGCGAAACCGCGAGGUGGAGCGAAUCCCAUAAAGCCGGUCUCAGUUCGGAUUGGAGUCUGCAACUCGACUCC